UCACUGUCUCUCCCUGUCUCUCUCUCUCUGUCUUCCCCCGAGAACCCCAUUCCUUCUUCUUCUUCCAUUUGAAAACGUACGGACACACACCAAACCCCUCAAACCAUCACAGAUCGAGGAAACUAAGGACACCUUCGAACUCGUGAAGCUCGUGUGAGUCCAACCAUACCAUUUGCAGGAGUCUCGGAGUAGCUCGUUUGGUGAUUUUGGACGUCAGGAUCGUUGGAUGUGGAAUUGGCCGAGUUUUGGAGUUUUGGACAGGUGAUUCCUAUCCCGAGGACGAGCGUGC